GUGCCAGCCGCCGCGGUAAUACGUAGGGCGCGAGCGUUGUCCGGAAUUAUUGGGCGUAAAGGGCUUGUAGGCGGUUGGUCGCGUCUGCCGUGAAUCCUCUGGCUUAAUCUGGGGGCGUGCGGUGGGUACGGGCUGACUUGAGUGCGGUAGGGGAGACUGGAACUCCUGGUGUAGCGGUGGAAUGCGCAGAUAUCAGGAAGAACACCGGUGGCGAAGGCGGGUCUCUGGGCCGUUACUGACGCUGAGGAGCGAAAGCGUGGGGAGCGAACAG
rnacentral:rRNA from 1 species